rnacentral:rRNA from 1 species
CCUACGGGAGGCAGCAGUGAGGAAUAUUGGUCAAUGGACGAGAGUCUGAACCAGCCAAGUAGCGUGAAGGAUGACUGCCCUAUGGGUUGUAAACUUCUUUUAUAUGGGAAUAAAACGUUCCACGUGUGGGAUUUUGUAUGUACCAUAUGAAUAAGGAUCGGCUAACUCCGUGCCAGCAGCCGCGGUAAUACGGAGGAUCCGAGCGUUAUCCGGAUUUAUUGGGUUUAAAGGGAGCGUAGGUGGAUUGUUAAGUCAGUUGUGAAAGUUUGCGGCUCAACCGUAAAAUUGCAGUUGAAACUGGCAGUCUUGAUUACAGUAGAGGUGGGCGGAAUUCGUGGUGUAGCGGUGAAAUGCUUAGAUAUCACGAAGAACUCCGAUUGCGAAGGCAGUUCACUGGACUGCAACUGACACUGAGGCUCGAAAGUGUGGGUAUCAAACAGGAUUAGAUACCCCUGUAGUC